GCCAACAUGGGAAUGAGUCCAGUGUCUGGAAGGAAAAAUAUUAUUAACAAUUAUAAGAAAAAGAUGAAGAUGGCCAAAAUCAGAAAUGUGUUCUGGAAUCCUCCAAAAAUAGUGCAAAAGAGAUGCCAAACCUAACAAGUGAAGUGAAGCUCUUAGGGCAGGGUAAUAGGGAAAUGAAAAUGGUGAGAGGAGUUUCAGAUGCGACCUUGCUGAGGGUGACACCAUGGCCUCAUGAGUUCAGCUAUUUUCUGAACUCAGGAGCAUCAGAAGGUAACUCUGGUCUCCGAGAGUAUUCAAUGAUAUUUGGAGUUCUCCAGCACAGCCUGCUUGCUGCAUCAGUUCCUGCCAAUAAAAUAAGCAAUAGUGAAUGAAUGACCCAUCAGCUCCAAAGUGGAGAUUGGAAUGGGGAUUUUCUCCAGUAGCUGCAGAAAAGGCAAUGCCUGGACUUUACUGACUCUCUUCUCUGAACAGUGGCUUAAAUAUUGACAACUCCUGAUCAAAAAAAGCAGGCUGUCAGAAGCUAAUAGGAGAACUGGGAAGAGACUUUCUCACAUCCCACAGCAGCUGGCUGGCCAGGUGAAGACAAGCGCCUGGUAUCAGAUGUUUGUCCUGAGAUGGCAGCCCCCAGUCCUGUAUGCAAGAGAUGACAGGAGGGAAGGCAGCGCUGUGACCACACACAGGCUUUGGGCUGCCCCGGCGAGCCCCCAGGAGCAUCCCAGGCAGUGAGCAACCUGCACUGCCGAGCCCACCAACCACUCCGAGCACCCGGGGUCAGCGACAGUCAGCUGUGCAAACAGAUGAACACGUGUGUUGAGACCGAUGGAGGAAGACCCAACAGAACCAGAGAGCUCCUCGGCUCCAGAGGCAGUGGUUCUGGCCUCUGUUCAAGCACCAAUCUCCACCUCAGGAAUACUGCCUUGGGCUUUCAAAGGCAUCUGAGAGCACAUCCUUUCUCCAGAAUGAACUCAGCUUUCACUGAGAGGGUGUCCUGUUCCCCAUCCAAACGGUUCUCCCCCAGGCUGGGGAACUUCAACCGGCCCCAGAGGACAUAGCUAGGAGGCCAAGGCAGCAGGCAAGCACCACUUUUCUUGUAUUUUGCAUAUUUUUCAGCUAUAUUUUCUCAGCUAUGUUUUGCUCUUCCCUACAGCAGCAUAACAGGAGUCAUGUCUUACUCCAAGGAUCCCCUCCUUUGCUGGGGUACUUCCAUUUCCCAUCUAAAAAGCAGUUCCCUCAAAAAGUAAAAUGGGACCUAGCUGCUCUUCCUUGCUUUAGUUCCAUGCUGGAACAGGAUACACACGCAGUCAUUCAUGCUGUCUAAUACAUUUGUUUCUAGUUUAGAUCUAUUCAAAAUGAGACCCAGUAUGGACAUCUGUCUUAUUAUCCAACAGUAGGUUAAAAAAAAAAACCUCUGCUGCCUCUGUAGGAGGGAUGUAGAUAAAAGGCAGCUGGAUGCAAGUGGACUUUCAGAAGCUUUCUUCCAUGAACCACGUAAUGGGACUCAGUGCAGAGAAAGUCCAUCCCAUACUCUUGCAUAUUCCAGAACAGUGGAGGAGUUGGUCACCACCUUCUCCACAAGGCAGCUGUCACCAAGAUUGGCACCAUAGAGACACUCAGAUACACUCCAUGAGAGCCAGAGGUCAACUGCCUUACUAGGGAAAGAGAGAUUUGCCAAGUCCAAGGGGACUGAACCUUGGGAGGGUUUCUCUGUCAGGGCCUGGAGGACACCAAUGCACCUUAAUUGCCCUGUGCACCCUCUCUGCCCUUGGGCUCAUGGGUUCCAUUUACCUUCAGGGCAGGGCAGCUAGUACUGCCCUGGGCUACACAGUAAGUAUACCCGUCUCUUCUCUCGCCCUGUCUCCUGGCUGGGCUCUUGCAGACUUACCUCCAGCCCUGGUGUGGUCCAUCCCUUUGCCUUGUCUGGGACUGCUGGUGGACCCUGUGCCAGCAAUCCACUCUGCACCACUGCGUGCAGAUGCUGUGGGAGAGCAUGCUGUUGAUGUGGGACCCACCCACACCAGGGUCCGCCCUGGUUCCUGGCUUGUCUCCCUGCAUGGGGCAGCCCCCUUCUUGCAGCUGGGUGACAGUCUGUGUUUGGUAGGCAGGAGCUGCUUUAACAGAUUCUGCUUGGCUUUUAAAAUGUGGCUUAAUUCCAAUGUUGAUGGCUCUAAUGUAACUUUAAA